rnacentral:rRNA from 1 species
GUGGGGAAUUUUGGACAAUGGGCGCAAGCCUGAUCCAGCAAUGCCGCGUGCAGGAAGAAGGCCUUCGGGUUGUAAACUGCUUUUGUACGGAACGAAACGGUCCUGGUUAAUACCUGGGGCUAAUGACGGUACCGUAAGAAUAAGCACCGGCUAACUACGUGCCAGCAGCCGCGGUAAUACGUAGGGUGCGAGCGUUAAUCGGAAUUACUGGGCGUAAAGCGUGCGCAGGCGGUGCUGUAAGACAGGCGUGAAAUCCCCGGGCUCAACCUGGGAAUUGCGCUUGUGACUGCAGUGCUGGAGUACGGGAGAGGGGGAUGGAAUUCCGAGUGUAGCAGUGAAAUGCGUAGAUAUGCGGAGGAACACCGAUGGCGAAGGCAGUCCCCUGGGCCUGUACUGACGCUCAUGCACGAAAGCGUGGGGAGCAAACAGGAUUAGAAACCCCAGUAGUCC